rnacentral:rRNA from 1 species
AACGCUAGCUACAGGCUUAACACAUGCAAGUCGAGGGGAAACGACAUCGAAAGCUUGCUUUUGAUGGGCGUCGACCGGCGCACGGGUGAGUAACGCGUAUCCAACCUGCCCACCACUUGGGGAUAACCUUGCGAAAGUAAGACUAAUACCCGAUGAUAUCUCUAGACGACAUCUGAAAGGGAUUAAAGAUUUAUCGGUGAUGGAUGGGGAUGCGUCUGAUUAGCUUGUUGGCGGGGUAACGGCCCACCAAGGCAACGAUCAGUAGGGGUUCUGAGAGGAAGGUCCCCCACAUUGGAACUGAGACACGGUCCAAACUCCUACGGGAGGCAGCAGUGAGGAAUAUUGGUCAAUGGGCGAGAGCCUGAACCAGCCAAGUAGCGUGCAGGACGACGGCCCUAUGGGUUGUAAACUGCUUUUAUAAGGGAAUAAAGUGAGUCUCGUGAGACUUUUUGCAUGUACCUUAUGAAUAAGGACCGGCUAAUUCCGUGCCAGCAGCCGCGGUAAUACGGAAGGUCCGGGCGUUAUCCGGAUUUAUUGGGUUUAAAGGGAGCGUAGGCCGGAGAUUAAGCGUGUUGUGAAAUGUAGUGGCUCAACCUCUGCACUGCAGCGCGAACUGGUCUUCUUGAGUACGCACAACGUGGGCGGAAUUCGUGGUGUAGCGGUGAAAUGCUUAGAUAUCACGAAGAACUCCGAUUG